AGGAGCAGGGGGCAAUGCCACAGAGGCGCUGGGAGGAGGCUCCGGGUUGGCACCUUCUUCACCUGUGGCAGGAUUCAUGAGUGGGAGGCCCUUCGCCCCGGCUGCACAUGAGCGCGAAUGUGACCCCCGGUGACAAGCAUGGGGACCUCCUCCAGCCCCCAGCCACCAGGCCCUCUUGUCCCUAACCCUGAGGCUCUCCCACGCAGGCCUGAAUUCCCAGAAAACUGGGAGCAGCUUUGAGUUCUGCGGAUGACGGAUUUCCGGAAUGGCUUUUAACGGGGUCGUUUUCAGAAAUUCCUCUCACGUAAAGGGCAACUGCUGGGCUUUGUGUACAGGCUGAAGGCCUGGGAGGGACAGGGGCCUUCACCCUGGCUCCUCCUCCUCUAUUUUUCUCUUGAUCAUAUUGUUGGAAAAAUCGCUUUCUCAGGCUCCCCGGUGGUAGUAGUAGUAGCCAUGUAGACCAGCACCAGCUGAGCCUUCCCUGCCAGGUGCAAUCCAGAUCGUCCCUGUGUUCGCUCCCUGCACCUCCCUGGGAGUCCUUCUGGGGAUGGAGGGCAGUUGGAGGGUGCGUGUUCAGCCUUACUGGACAGUGUCCACCGUGCGUACUCGAGCAAGUGCCUUGAGGUCUCUGGGCCUUGUAGCAGCAUCUAUGCAGCAGGAGAAAAACAGCACCUGCUUCGUAGGCCGCCGUGAGGACAGAGCAAUUGAACCAGGGUGCACGGCCAGCGCCAGACACAGUGAGCUUCAUGGCAACUCCAGUUUACCGGUCACCUCGCUCGACCACGCCGCCUCCUAGCCCCUCGCCUGCCGUCCGCGUUUAGUGAGCAAUCCCUCACACCUCCGACCAUGGUUUCCAGAGACACCGAGCGGGCUACACACCGGGAAAGUUUUCUGUCCGCUCAGCAAUGCCUUCGGAUUGCUUAUGGGAUUGAGGGAAGCCUGGGAGACCUGCUCUGCCGAACGUGGUCCAAAUCCUCAUGGAGACAGGCGCACCAGAUCCUGCACCCAGGAGCUGGGACGCCGCUGGCAUGGGCCUGCUUAGGACUGUUCAGCAUCUCCUCACGCCAUUGCCCGACCCGCUAAUCAGCUUGAGGAGAAAGGAGAGAGGAAAUGCCGUCCUUUGACAAGAUGUGGGAAACCACCUCGGUUUGUACUUGGUGUGGCUGUGACCGGCAAACAAAGAACCCUCCCCGGCUCUGGGGCCAAGUUUCCAAUAAACUUUUCCCUGAGCACU
rnacentral:lncRNA from 1 species